rnacentral:rRNA from 1 species
ACGCUCGACACCUACGGGAGCAGCAGUCGGGAAUAUUGCGCAAUGGAGGAAACUCUGACGCAGUGACGCCGCGUAUAGGAAGAAGGUUUUCGGAUUGUAAACUAUUGUCGUUAGGGAAGAAAAAGGACAGUACCUAAGGAGGAAGCUCCGGCUAACUACGUGUCAGCAGCCGCGGUAAUCUGAGCGGGCUGGCAAGGC